rnacentral:rRNA from 1 species
GAUGAACGCUGGCGGCGUGCUUGAUACAUGCAAGUCGAACGGAGAGUGUAGCAAUAUACUUUUAGUGGCGAACGGGUGAGUAACGCGUUGGUGACCUGCCCCGAAGCGAGGGAUAACAGUUCGAAAGAACUGCUAAUACCUCAUGUGAUCACCGGUUUUAGAAUCUGGUGAUUAAAGGUGAAAAUCACUUCGGGAGGGGCCUGCGUCCCAUCAGCUAGUUGGUAAGGUAAUGGCUUACCAAGGCGAUGACGGGUAGGGGACCUGAGAGGGUGGCCCCCACAAUGGAACUGAAACACGGUCCAUACACCUACGGGUGGCAGCAGUAGGGAAUAUUGCAAAUGGGCGAAAGCCUGAUGUAGCAACGCCGCGUGUGCGAUGAAGGUCUUCGGAUUGUAAAGCACUUUUUGGAGGGAUGAGGAAGGACAGUACCUCCAGAAUAAGCCUCGGCUAACUACGUG